GAGGAAUAUUGGUCAAUGGGCGAGAGCCUGAACCAGCCAAGUCGCGUGAAGGAUGAAGGUUUUAUGAAUUGUAAACUUCUUUUGCAGGGGAAUAAAGUGCGGUACGUGUACCGUUUUGUAUGUACUCUGCGAAUAAGGAUCGGCUAACUCCGUGCCAGCAGCCGCGGUAAUACGGAGGAUCCAAGCGUUAUCCGGAUUUAUUGGGUUUAAAGGGUGCGCAGGCGGGUUGAUAAGUCAGCGGUGAAAGUUUGCAGCUUAACUGUAAAAUUGCCGUUGAAACUGUCGAUCUUGAGUGCAAAUGAGGUAAGCGGAAUGUGUUGUGUAGCGGUGAAAUGCUUAGAUAUAACACAGAACACCGAUUGCGAAGGCAGCUUACUGGGAUGCAACUGACGCUCAUGCACGAAAGCGUGGGGAUCAAAC
rnacentral:rRNA from 1 species